rnacentral:tRNA from 1 species
GUAAAUAUAGUUUAAUCAAAACAUUAGAUUGUGAUUCUAAAAAUAAAGGUUAAAUCCCUUUUAUUCACC